UGAAGUAGAACCAUUGCAUGUAGGCAGGAUAGAGGCUUGUUAUACAUUGAAAUAUACAAGGUUGUGGAGGACAAGGUCCUGGCCCUGACUGCAGACUCUGUUGUAUAAGAAUAAUCCAGACACUUGUCUUACGUUUGCGUGGCAAGUAGCUGGAGUCAGUAAUGGUGUAGAUACAUUGCUUUGUGCUAGUGCAAUUAUUGGAGGUGAAUAUUGAAGUGGGUCUACAUUGUGAAUGAGCCUAUAUCUUACAGGGUAUGGUGGUGUUUUUAUAUAUCAGUUCUAGGUUAUGAGUAAGCAUACAGCAAGGGGGGCUUAAAAGGUGAAAGGAAUAAUGUAGAGGAAGGAAUGCGCAGGUGGUUCUGCUGGGAGAAAGGGGAAAGAGGGAAAAGAAAGGGGGUGUAUGGGAGGGCAUGCAAAAUUAGGAGAUGUGGAUUAGGGUUGGGUAAUGGAAUCACCGAUGGUAUCUAUACCACAGUUGAAGUUGUGUUAAUUAUAGAAGAGAGAAAAAACCCAGACUAAAUGUGAGAUUACCAAGAAAGUAAUGUGUCUCCAUCUAACCGAGGGUCCCAAAACUUGUGAAGCAAUUUUGGGAAGUCGUGAACUUGGGCUGUAAGCCUACCCAUGCCGAUGCUUUCUAAUAUGUUCUUAUUAAUUGUUUGAGGAGAGGGGAUUCUAAUGGUGGACCAAACCUCUGCGAUUCCUGUGUAGUAAUAGUGCC